rnacentral:rRNA from 1 species
UCCGUAGGUGGAUAAUUAAGUCAGAGGUGAAAUCCUGCAGCUCAACUGUAGAAUUGCCUUUGAUACUGGUUGUCUUGAGUCAUUGUGAAGUAGUUAGAAUAUGUAGUGUAGCGGUGAAAUGCAUAGAUAUUACAUAGAAUACCGAUUGCGAAGGCAGAUUACUAACAAUGUACUGACACUGAUGGACGAAAGCGUGGGGAGCGAACAGGAUUAGAUACCCUGGUAGUCC